rnacentral:rRNA from 1 species
UACGUAGGGUGCAAGCGUUGUCCGGAAUUAUUGGGCGUAAAGAGCUUGUAGGCGGUCUGUCGCGUCUGCUGUGAAAACCUGGGGCUUAACCCCGGGCCUGCAGUGGGUACGGGCAGACUAGAGUGUGGUAGGGGAGACUGGAAUUCCUGGUGUAGCGGUGAAAUGCGCAGAUAUCAGGAGGAACACCGGUGGCGAAGGCGGGUCUCUGGGCCAUAACUGACGCUGAGGAGCGAAAGCGUGGGGAGCGAACAGG